rnacentral:rRNA from 1 species
UACGUAGGGGGCUAGCGUUGUCCGGAUUUAUUGGGCGUAAAGAGCGUGUAGGCGGCCAGGUAGGUCUGCUGUGAAAACUCGAGGCUCAACCUCGAGAUGUCGGCGGAAACCAUCUGGCUAGAGUCCGGAAGAGGAGAAUGGAAUUCCCGGUGUAGCGGUGAAAUUCGUAGAUAUCGGGAGGAACACCAGUGGCGAAGGCGGCGACCUGGGCCAAUAUUGACGCUGAGGUGCGAAAGCGUGGGGAGCAAACAGG